GACGAACGCUGGCGGCGUGCCUAACACAUGCAAGUCGAAGAUAGUGGCGAACGGGUGCGUAAUACGUGGUUAACCUGCCCUCCUUUUUUGGAUCAGCCUUGGAAACUGGGUCUAAUACCGACUACAUGGGUAUGGGCGCGCGGCCUAUCAGCUUGUUGGUGGGGUGAUGGCCUACCAAGGCGGUGACGGGUAGCCGGCCUGAGAGGGUGACCGGCCACAAUGGGACGGGGAUACGGCACAGACUCCGACGGGAGGAAGCAGUGGGGGAGAUGGCACAAGGGGAGAAAGCCUGAUGCAGCGACGCCGAGUGGGGGAUGAAGGCUGGCGGGUUGUAAACCUCUUUCGCUAGCGAACGGGUAGGUGGAGAAGAAGCGCCGGCUAACUACGUGCCAGCCGCCGCGGUAAUAC
rnacentral:rRNA from 1 species